rnacentral:misc_RNA from 1 species
UCCGAGUUGUCCCCGGCGGUCCCCUUAGAGUCCCCGGCAUUACCCGCUGGCAACUAAGAGCAGGGGUUGCGCUCGUUGCGGCACUUAACCCAACAUCUCACGACACGAGCUGACGACAGCCAUGCACCACCUGUGCACUGGCCCCGAAGGGCUGCCGUAUUUCUACGACAUUCCAGUGCAUGUCAAGCCUUGGUAAGGUUCUUCGCGUUGCGUCGAAUUAAACAACAUGCUCCGCUGCUUGUGCGGGUCCCCGUCAAUUCCUUUGAGUUUUAACCUUGCGGCCGUACUCCCCAGGCGGUGGGCUUAAUGCGUUAGCGUCGACACUGCGGGGCAAGCCCCCCAACGUCUGGCCCACAUCGUUUAGGGCGUGGACUAC